GACGAACCUUGGCGGCGUGCUUAACACAUGCAAGUCGAACGGAAAGGCCCUGCUUUUGUGGGGUGCUCGAGUGGCGAACGGGUGAGUAACACGUGAGUAACCUGCCCUUGACUUUGGGAUAACUUCAGGAAACUGGGGCUAAUACCGGAUAGGAGCUCCUGCUGCAUGGUGGGGGUUGGAAAGUUUCGGCGGUUGGGGAUGGACUCGCGGCUUAUCAGCUUGUUGGUGGGGUAGUGGCUUACCAAGGCUUUGACGGGUAGCCGGCCUGAGAGGGUGACCGGCCACAUUGGGACUGAGAUACGGCCCAGACUCCUACGGGAGGCAGCAGUGGGGAAUAUUGCACAAUGGGCGGAAGCCUGAUGCAGCAACGCCGCGUGCGGGAUGACGGCCUUCGGGUUGUAAACCGCUUUCGCCUGUGACGAAGCGUGAGUGACGGUAAUGGGUAAAGAAGCACCGGCUAACUACGUGCCAGCAGCCGCGGUGAUACGUAGGGUGCGAGCGUUGUCCGGAUUUAUUGGGCGUAAAGGGCUCGUAGGUGGUUGAUCGCGUCGGAAGUGUAAUCUUGGGGCUUAACCCUGAGCGUGCUUUCGAUACGGGUUGACUUGAGGAAGGUAGGGGAGAAUGGAAUUCCUGGUGGAGCGGUGGAAUGCGCAGAUAUCAGGAGGAACACCAGUGGCGAAGGCGGUUCUCUGGGCCUUUCCUGACGCUGAGGAGCGAAAGCGUGGGGAGCGAACAGGCUUAGAUACCCUGGUAGUCCACGCUGUAAACGGUGGGUACUAGGUGUGGGGUCCAUUCCACGGGUUCCGUGCCGUAGCUAACGCUUUAAGUACCCCGCCUGGGGAGUACGGCCGCAAGGCUAAAACUCAAAGGAAUUGACGGGGCCCCGCACAAGCGGCGGAGCAUGCGGAUUAAUUCGAUGCAACGCGUAGAACCUUACCUGGGUUUGACAUGGAUCGGGAGUGCUCAGAGAUGGGUGUGCCUCUUUUGGGGUCGGUUCACAGGUGGUGCAUGGCUGUCGUCAGCUCGUGUCGUGAGAUGUUGGGUUAAGUCCCGCAACGAGCGCAACCCUUGUUCACUGUUGCCAGCACGUUAUGGUGGGGACUCAGUGGAGACCGCCGGGGUCAACUCGGAGGAAGGUGGGGAUGACGUCAAGUCAUCAUGCCCCUUAUGUCCAGGGCUUCACGCAUGCUACAAUGGCUGGUACAGAGAGUGGCGAGCCUGUGAGGGUGAGCGAAUCUCGGAAAGCCGGUCUCAGUUCGGAUUGGGGUCUGCAACUCGACCUCAUGAAGUCGGAGUCGCUAGUAAUCGCAGAUCAGCAACGCUGCGGUGAAUACGUCCCCGGGGCU
rnacentral:rRNA from 1 species